UAGGUUGAUGGUAGGGGGAGGAGGAAAGGUGGGGAAAACGUUGGUGGUGGUGGCGGCUGCGCCGGGUAUCCGGCUGGGGCAGUAGUCGGCGGCGUUUCGAAUGAUGUGGAGAGAGAGAGAGAGAGAGACGGAGAAGGAAAGGAGAGAGAAAGAGAGAGUGAGAGAGAGAGGGUCGAAUGGAAUGGAAAGGCAGUCAGGUUAGCUGCGGUGCGGUAGGGGAGGGCAGGAACGAGGCAAGGCAAGCGAUUUAGCUGGUGCUGGUUCGGCGAGCCACGAGUUGGAGUGGCGAGAGAGCAGCCGAGGUCCCGUUGCCCGUGCCUGCACCGGGAGAGGCGUCAUGAAAGCGCGCCAGUUGACCGAGUGCACCUCACCUCGGACGAAACCGCGUAUUUGCCGUCGUUGAGGAGAGGCCUACCUUGCCCUCUCUGCUUUCGUGGCAAGGAUUCGGCCGGUGGCUCUCCUGCUCCUCGCUGUCACGCGCCUCUAUUGUUUCUCCAGUGCGGGGGGAGGGGGGGGGGAAUCUUGGUUUUUGCCAGUAUCCGGAUAGAAUAGCGGCGCGUAUCCGUGUCGUGUGUCGGUCGAGACGUACUCGAUUUUCGUCAUUCGUAACCCGUGUGUACUCGUUUCAGAGAGAAGUUUCACCCAGUCAAUAGUGUGCGAGUGAGUACGCGAUGCGUGAGACGUGCCGUUUGGAUUGAUCAUCGCGGAUGUCUACGCUUCGGUCUGCCUUUUGACGAGGGAGUUCGAGUGGGUGGAAAAGGACGAAGGAAAGAAGAAGUUUUUCGUUCCCUGUUUCGCACGACUCGUUUUCGCGUCACGCGAAUUUCUCGUGGCGCGAUACGUUGUUAUUGACAUAUCGAUUUGGUUGGCACGGUGCUCGUUCGUUUGGCAUCGAAUCGUGGUGGAGAUCUAGAGAGAAGGAAACACCGAGAGGAGGGAAAAGAAGAAAAAUAAAGAGAAAUAUGAAAACUCGUUUCUGUCAGUGAGCACGGCUCGGAUGAAAGUAUUAAAACGUUCUUUCUUUCGGUUUCACGUUGAUAACCACCGUCGCCUCGGUGGCCUGGCGUGUUUCACCUUGACGUUGAAACGUUGAACGUAGUGGCACGUUUCGGCUGAUAUUUCUCAUCAUCGAAUCGAGAGAGCGAGGAAACGGAGCAUUUCGACAGACACGCGAUAUUCUUUGUUAUUCUUUGUUAUCGUAACGAUAUCGUACACAACGUUGCACGUACGUUCUCUUUUCGAUUUCGUAUUUUCUGUAUCUGACGAUCGAUUCGAAACACGAAAGGAAUAAAAGGAACAAAGAUAGAUUGAAUCGGCUCGAAGAUUAAUUCAAAUUCGUCGGGCGUUCGGCGACGUCAACGUGGGCCGCUUUAAACAAGCGAAAGGAAACUUGUAGCACCAAAAAAAAAAAAAAAAAAGAAAGAAAUAACGAUCGGACCAGAAGAUUAUUAAAAACCUCGUACAUUCCAUUUUAUUUUUUAACACAAAGUAACAAAAGUUACGCAACGAGUUACCUCCUUCGUCGUAAGAGAAAGAAGAAGAAAAAGAAGAGAGAAGCGAGAAGAAUAUUAAUCAACGUCCGAUAAUAAUCGUAAUUUGAAGUACAAUUUUCCUGGAUCCGAUAUCGAACAAUUUGACUGGUCGGUAACGUUAGUGACAUCUCCGAUUUCACGAAACGCUCGGUUCGUUACCUUGGCGUUGUCUCGGGCAAGGCAAGGAGGGUGGCAUCCCCUCGUCUCGUGAUCCCGUUCCACGCUCGUCGAGGGGCCGAAACGGAACGGAUAGGAGAGCGUCGAAGAGAGAAGAAAGUACAAGGCCUUAUCUAAGCUCUCUCCAACUCUUUCGACCGCCGUCGAACAAUCGAGUCGAAGAGAGAAAAGAAGAAAAAGAAGAGAGAGAGAGAGAGAGAGAAAGAUGAUAGUGCACGAGCUCGUUAUCAAACUUUACGUGGCCAUUGUCGACGAGCUCGUUGUCGGUUGCCCGUAUCGUUCCAGGUAAAAUUCGAAUUCGUGAAAAAGAGGGGCACGACAUGAUCCUCGCCGUUUCGUCGCGGUUCAUCGACACUUUUGCCUGACAUUCCAUUAUUAUUACACGAUACGAUUCGAUAUCGCAUCGAAGGACAGGUUGCUCCCUUCGGAGGAGGCGAUCACGUGCGAGCUCGACUUUAAACGAAUCGUUGACCCAGUCCAGUCAUGGCGGAACCAGGGACCAGAGCUAUCGUAAGCAACGACAGAACGAGAAAAAAGGAAUCGUUGAAUCCUCGUUUCCAGAGUGCGGUGAUAAAAUUGUGAAUGCCUCGACUCUGGCCGUCGUGGUCGUCGCUUCAACAUUUGAAAAUCCGCGUACGUUGGGCGGCCGCGAACUAGUCGAGCAGGAAGCGUGCACACGUUGGUGUGACACACGCGGUGACACACGUGGUCGGCCGUUUGGGUACCGUUUCCAACAUUCCUAUCCGAGCUAUCCGGAACGAGUUAGAGGGGAGGAGGCGGAGGAGUAGUGUUCCGGUUAGCCGAACCGUCGAGCCAGCCAGCCGUCGAUGGAUAUGGCAGCCGCUGUUGUUUCUCCUCCACGGUUCCAACGUAGUCGGCGGCGUGCUACCUGUGAAUCGAGCGAACAGGUGUUGUCGCAAGGUGUUGCCCGGGCCGGGAUACGUGAUUCCUCGUGAUAGCAGCAGGCACACGGCUCGUCAAACUGUCUGCGGUAGUGGUGUGUGCCACUCGUGUUUAACUCGAUCGAUCGUGUGUGCGUGUGCGUGUGUGUGUGCGUGUGUGUGCGUGCGUGCGUGUGAGAAGGAGAGAGAGAGGGAGAGAGACGAUCGACACGAUUCCUCGCGUGCAUUCUUAGUGACCGAAAGUGUUUGACCGAAGUGAUACACGGUGAGUUUAGGUGUAAUCGGUGGCCAAGAAGCGGAGAAGUAGGCCGCGGAGGAGAAAGGAGAGGAGAGGGAAUAUACACACGGUUGAAAUUGGUGCGAGGGAGAGGAAGAAGAAGAAGAAGAAGAAGGAGAAGAAGGAGGACAGAGUCGUGGGAUACGCGUUGAUCCGUGUUGGUCCAGAAAAUUAAGGAUGAAGAGCAGGAUGGUCGAUCGCGCGCGAUCCAUAUCCAGGUUUCGCGGCACCCUUCUUCUGCUUCUGACGCUGCUCGCGGAGGUCACGUAUUCGGCAGACCUCGCGAUCGAGAUACCAGGAAACUUGAGCCAGGGAGGUUCUUGGUACCGUUUGGACUACAGCCCUGCGGUCGGUUAUCCACCACCGAACACCACCAUAGCCGCCAUCGACAUAGGCGACGUGAUAAAAUUCAAGGACGGCCUGCCAGGCACCAAAUACGAAUUUUGGUUGUACUAUAGCAACAGCAGUCUCCACGAUUGGCUAACAUGGACCGCGUCCAUAACCACGGCCCCGGACCCUCCCUCCAACCUCACCGUCUCGGUGAGAAAUGGGAAGACGGCGAUAGUCUACUGGGCGCCGCCUGCCCAGGGCAAUUAUUCCGGGUUCCGGUUAAGGGUGCAAAGUUUCAGCGACACAGGGAAUCCUAAAACAAGCGUCAUACCGGCGGACGCUGUGCCGUACGUGCUCCGCGACCUCAUACCAGGGGCGACGUACUCCCUCCAACUGUUCACCGUGUUGGACACCAAGGAGAGCGUCGCGUACACGAGCAGGAAUUUCACCACCAAGCCGAACACACCGGGCAAGUUCAUCGUAUGGUUCAGAAACGAGACGACCUUGUUGGUCCUCUGGCAGCCUCCCUAUCCUGCUGGGAUUUACACCCAUUACAAAGUUAGUAUAGAUCCAGCAGACGCCAUAGAAUCCGUUCUUUACGUGGAGAAGGAAGGGGAGCCCCCCGGGCCUGCACAGGCAGCUUUCAAGGGGCUCGUUCCUGGCAGAGCUUACAAUAUUUCGGUUCAAACGGUGUCGGAGGACGAGACUUCGACCCCGACCACGGCCCAGUAUCGAACGGUGCCGUUGCGACCCCUCAACGUCACCUUCGACAAGCCCUCGAUAACGUCCACCUCGUUCCACGUGUUCUGGAAUCCGCCCGAGGGAAUGUCCGAAUUCGACAAGUAUCAGAUAUCGUUGGGGGGCAACAAAAGGCUCGCCCCCGUUACGAGGAACAGGGACGACGAGAGCAAGUGGGAGUUCAAGGAUUUGGAGCCCGGGAAAACUUACCAGGUCGUGGUGAAGACCGUCUCGGGCAAGGUUACCAGUUGGCCGGCCAACGGGGACGUUACUCUGAAACCGCUGCCGGUGCGCGAUCUUAGCGCGGUGAUCGACGAGAAAACCGGGAUGGUGGAAGUUUCCUGGCACCCGGAGAACUCGAGCACCCAGGACAGUUACAAGCUUCAGUAUCACGAAGUGGAAACUACGAUCGGCGGUGAUAGCAACAUGUUGACAACCGAUAAGACCAAGGUCACGUUGGAGGCUUUACUGCCAGGCAGGAAUUACUCGAUAAUCGUCCAGGCGAUUAGCAACAAGGUGGAAUCGAACGAGACCGUGCUCUACCAAGUGACACGGCCCUCGAGCCCGAUAAUCGAAGAUCUGAAGCCGACCGAGAUGGGGUUGAACAUCUCGUGGAAGAGCGACGUUAACUCGAGGCAAGAGAAAUUCGAGGUGACGCACAACAGGAACGACACCGGGGAGAGCGCGACCACCUUGACCACGGAGUCCCACAUAGUUCUCGAGGACCUCUAUCCCGGGGCGGCUUACGAGGUCAAAGUUUUCGCCAUUAGCCACGGGCUCAGGAGCGAACCUCACGAUUAUUUUCAAGCCGUUCUGCCGCACCCGCCAAAGAAUUUAAUCAUCGAGAAAGUGACGACGGGGAACACCGUGGUGGUCCGUUGGGAGGCGCCUACGGAUUCCUUGUAUUCCGAGUUCUCGAUACGAUACCGGACGGAGGACGACCCCAGGUGGGUGAAGCUGCCCAGUGUUCGCGAGACGGAGGCCGAGGUGGCGGAUAUGACGCCGGGGGAGAAGUACACGAUCCAAGUGAACACCGUCAGUUACGGGGUGGAAAGUCUGUACCCGCUUCAAGUGAACCACACAGUUCGGUCUAACCCGGUGCUCAACAUCACCCCUAUCGUGGACUCGACGAACGUGACCCUGGAAUGGCCCAGGCCCGAGGGCAGAAUCGAGACGUACGUGAUAAGGUGGUGGCCGGUGGACAAUCGCGAGGACGUGCGCACGAAGAACGUGACCGAGAGCAACGACGUGGCCGCGGGUGGCCUCUACGAAGAGAACUCGGUGCAGAGGGUGUUGGUCGGCGAUCUUAUGCCCGGUGUUCAGUACUCCUUCGUAAUAUGCACCAUCUCCUAUAACUUGGUCAGUGAGAUCACCAAUCUGACUACGAGGACAAUGCCGCUGAUCCAAUCGGAAGUGGUUGUGGUGGUCGAUCAGGAUCAGCCUGACUCGUUGACCUUGAGAUACACACGGACCCCGGUUCAAUCCUCCAAGUUCGAUCUGUACCGGUUCCGGAUCAGCGACUCGAGGAACACGACGAAACAGAAGAUGGUGGACGACGUGGACACCAAAGUGACCUUCACCGGCCUCACGCCCGGUAAACUGUACAACGUUACCGUUUGGACCGUCAGCGAUAACGUGGAGAGCAGGCCGCUGCUCAGGCAGGAUCGACUUUACCCCGAACCAGUCACGUCCAUUCAAGCCAUAGACAUCAACGACACGAGGAUCACGCUCACGUGGGACAUACCGCGUGGACAGUACGACGCUUUCGAGGUUCAAUACAUAAACACGGAGGGGAAUUACAUUCAGAACAUCACCACCGUGAACUCGAUAACGAUCUCCGAUUUGAAACCGCAUAGAAAUUACACUUUCACAUUGGUGGUCCGUUCCGGGACCGCGUCCUCUUAUCUGAGAAUAUCGAAUCCUCUGAGCGCGAGUUUCACCACCAGCGAGUCCUAUCCUGGAAAGGUGGAGAAGUUCCAUCCCACGGACAUUCAACCGAGCGACAUUAGCUUCGAGUGGUCGCUCCCCAGCCAAGAGCAGAACGGCAUCAUAAUAAAGUACACCAUCACCUACGGUUUGGACGGCUCGAACCACACUCAGAUGCAGGAUUUCAAGCCGAACGAAUACCGCGGCGUGAUCAAGUCUCUGAUACCUGGAAAGACGUACAUGUUCAGGAUCCAGGCGCAGACGAGGAUAGGGUUCGGGCCGGAGGCGGUGUGGAAGCAGAAGAUGCCGAUCCUCGCUCCUCCCAAACCGCCCACGCAGGUGGUGCCGACCGAGGUGUGCAGGAGCAGCACAACGAUACAGAUACGGUUCAGGAAAAAUUACUUCAGCGAGCAGAACGGAGCCGUCACGUCCUACACGAUCAUCGUCGCCGAGGACGACAGCAAGAACGCAUCUGGCUUGGAGAUGCCCAGCUGGAGGGAUGUUCAGGCUUACAGUAUCUGGCCACCGUAUCAGGUGAUGGAGCCUUAUUAUCCUUUCAAAAACGGGUCCGUGGAGGAUUUCACGAUCGGCAGCGAGAAUUGCGACAACAAGAUCGGAUACUGCAACGGCCCGUUGAAAUCUGGAUCCACGUACAGAGUAAAAGUUCGCGCGUUCACCGCCCCGGACAAAUUCACGGACACGAGUUACAGUUUCCCGAUUCAAACAGGAUUGCUGCUGGCAGACAAGGACAAUACGGCUAUCAUAGUUGGAGUCACGGUCCCGAUAGUACUUUUACUGGCUUUAUUGGGUAUCGGGUUAUUGGUCAGGCGGAGAAGAAGUCAGGGACGGAAGACAACCGAAACGAGGACCACUGACAAUUUGUCCUUACCGGACAGCGUGAUCGAUACCAGUCGGCCAAUCAAGAUAGAAGAUUUUUCUGAACAUUAUCGGACGAUGUCGGCCGAUUCCGACUUCCGUUUCUCGGAGGAGUUCGAAGAGUUGAAACACGUCGGAAGGGAUCAGCCUUGCACAGCCGCCGAUCUGCCGUGCAACAGGCCGAAGAAUCGUUUCACCAAUAUUUUACCUUACGAUCACAGCAGAUUCAAGUUGCAACCCGUGGACGACGAGGAGGGUUCCGAUUACAUCAACGCCAAUUACGUCCCCGGGCACAAUUCUCCGAGGGAGUUCAUCGUCACUCAAGGUCCUUUACACUCGACGCGCGACGAUUUCUGGAGAAUGGUCUGGGAAAGCAACAGCAGGGCGAUCGUAAUGCUGACCAGGUGUAUCGAGAAAGGAAGAGAGAAGUGUGACCAUUAUUGGCCAGUCGACACUCAUCCCGUCUAUUACGGUGACAUUUGUGUAACCAUAUUGAACGAGACGCAUUAUCCCGACUGGAGCAUCACGGAGUUCAUGCUGUGCAGAGGAGACGCGAAAAGAGUGAUUCAACACUUCCAUUUCACAACGUGGCCGGACUUCGGCGUUCCAAAUCCCCCUCAAACGUUGGCCAGAUUCGUUCGGGCGUUUAGGGAAAGAGUGAGGCCGGAUCAGAGGCCGAUCGUGGUUCACUGCAGCGCGGGAGUCGGCCGUAGCGGUACGUUCAUCACGUUGGACAGAAUAUUACAGCAGAUCCUGGUGUCCAAAUACGUGGACAUCUUUGGGAUAGUGUGGGCGAUGAGGAAGGAGCGUGUGUGGAUGGUCCAGACCGAGCAACAGUACAUUUGCAUACACCAGUGUCUUCUGGCGGUGUUGGAGGGCCAGGACAUGACUGGCCCGCCGCGAGAGAUUCACGACAAUCAGGGAUUCGAAGGCAAGAAUCGAAGCUCGGUUGAAAAUACAAACAGUCCUGGCGAGGAUGAAAAGGAAAGGUGACCCUCGAACUGCGAUUCCGGCGUCGAUGAUUUCUCUCUUGUAUGGAGUAUUUUGCAUGCGGAUAACUAAUAGUAGUUUUACCAACGCACGUGGCACGAGUACUAAUCUAUAGAAAGUAACACAUUUGCUUUGAAUGUACAGGCAAAGAAGUAGAUUUGUAUUGUUUGUUACAUGAAUAUUUAUUUCGUUGAUAUUGAAAGACGACGAAGGAAUAGCGGAAUCAGGAAUGUGAUGUUCGAAUACCUCGAUUCAUUCAGGGAUCAACGAACACGAGGAUGCUUUAGAGAUAUUUUGAGAAGAGGUGCGGUGCACCGUGAAAAAAAAAAUAUAUAUAUAUAUUUAUAAAUAUAUAUAUAUAUAUAUAUAUAAUAUUACUACAUGCGUGGCGUGUUGUCGAAAAUGGAGAAAAACUAAGGGAAAUGGAAGAAAUCAUUGUACACUCACGAGAUAUACCAGAAGUGCUUCUAAAAAAGAGACGAGAAACUAGCUUAGCUUCGUUGCUUAAGAAGAAGCGUUCGAGAUGAUUUACGUCUUUUUUAGUUUUCUUGCGAGAGGAACAACAAUAACAGCAGUCAAGACUAUUGCAUCUUCUCACAAAACGUUUCGUGUACGUGAUAGUAAACGAAAUACGAAUGUGCUUCGACGAAUAAUAGCAUAUAUUAUAUGUACACACACACACGCGCACACACAUACAUAUACCGUCGACAAUAAUCGCUUCUUCGCGUCUGAACUUUCACCGCGAGAAUGCGAAUGAUACGAGUGAAAAAGAAAGUACCGUUCGACGAUCGAUGCCUGGAAUGUUCGAAUGAUCGUCGAACAGGUUUCGAUCGAUCGAGGAACAAGCUUAUUCCUUUCUACGAUGGUUUCGACGAUGCAUUUCAUCAUCUCAUCCGAUCGCGUUCAUCUUCCGGGGGAAGAUGGAGGAAGUGGUCCCCGGUGGAAAGGGAGAAAUACGUACACGAACACACGAGCGGAGUCUGAAAUUCUGACGAGCGGAAAUUUUGCGGGGUAUUGGAGGGAUUCGAGAUUAUUAUAUUUCUAUUUCUAGGGAACUUGGAUUGAGAGGAGGAGGCGUACGAAGCGAGAACUUGUGCGGGAUUUGUGUAUAGACUGUAAGGAAGAGGAAUUAUUUUUUUCGCGUCGAAACUGCUUCUACUGUAUUCGGGAGAACGUGAUGUAAAAUUGGAAACGAAUGGUAACGAAUUGAUGUGAUUUUCAUUUGCGACGAGUGGCUGUUUGAAAGUAGUGGGAGAACUACUGAGAGAUGAGCGUGCAGCAUCGUAAAUCUGUUCUUUUCUGUAAAUAAUAAUGUAAAUCGAUGAUACUAACGAGGCGAUUUCUCAGAUUAGGUCACGAGAGAGAAUGGUCGUAAUUCCGGGAUCGAGGAGUGUCUCCGCCUCGAUUUUCUUUUCUUUUUUUUUUUUCUUUUUCUCUUUUUCUUUUACGAAAAAAAGACGACGAUCGAUGCUCGCGUUUUUAGAUACCUGUCGUGAUGUAGAUAAAUCUCCAAGUUGCAUAUCUUAAGGAUCGUAAGAUGCGUAUCCCGCGUUGGGUUGCCACGUUGCGAUCGAGAUGUUUGAAUUGAAUUUGAAAAAUCAAUUUUUUUUCCCUCUUUCUCUUUUCUUUUUCUUUUUUUUUUUUUUUUAAGUAACGUAACGAACAUCGUUUCUCUUCUUGCCUAGUUUUUUUUUUCUUUUAUCAUUCACGGAUAGAAUUUACCAGAAAAUUUACUGCUAUUCAAAAUCGUGAGUGGCAACCAUCCGUCCAAGGGGGUGUAGUAGAGACGCCGAUUAAAAAAACACUGCCUAGAAUGAAAAAAAAAAAAAGAAAAAAAGAAAAAAAAACAAACGGGGAAUAUGAAAUAGGAAACGAGAGAAGAAUGGAUUUCCUCCUUUUUUUUUCAUGAUAGGAAGAGAAUUAAGAGAAAUAAAUAAAUAAAUAAAUAAAAGUAAAAAACAAAAAAAAAAUUUAACAUGUCAGUGGGAACAAGAAACUCGCAUCUUCGUAGAAGUCAUAUCACUCUUUUCACGAGAAUCACUCGACGAUCCGUAUAAUAAUACAUAAUAUUUACUCAUCGAUUCUUCGUUCGAUUCUUCGAAAUCGACGUUCUUCGAGAUCGUUAAUCAUAGAUCGUAGAUCGUUCGUAACUUUUGACAUCGUUCAUCGACGCGUUUCGUGUGUCGUUUUCGUAAUAUCGUUUGACAUAUGGGAUCGUUUUCUCUCUCUCUCUCUCUUUCUUUCUUUAAAAAAAAAAGAAAACAAAAGAAAGAAAAAGAUACAAUGAAUCAAUGAACCUCGGUGAACGGGGAACCUUGAACGCGACGGACCAAAACCGCUUCUGUUUGCACGAUUCGAACGAUGAUCGAUGGUCAAUGGGAUUACAAUUUGUAGACAGGAAUAUCAGAAGGGAUGUAAGUCUGGUGGAGGAAAGGAACGAUCGAAUCUCCAAGCGAUUGAAAGAAAAAAAAAAAACGAAAUUGGACGAAAUAUUGGAACGACUACGACUACGACGACUGCUACGUUUCGUUCCGUUUUAGAACGGAAACGGAAGAUCCGAUCGUCACCCUCCGGUACUUAGAGGUCAGAAGAUUUGCUCGAUGCUACAAAAAAAAGAAAUCUGUGUACUUAAUUUUCUAUUUUUACCGUAUUUGAGGCAAUGCGGUCGGGGGGAUGGAGGGAGGGAUUUUUACGCGUUUGAGAGUCGCGUAAAAUUCGGAUUAUUCUCGAAUCAGGGUAAAAAAAAUUGAUUCUCUCGAGUAUGUGGGAGGGGGAGGGGAGGAGAAUUUCAAAUUCACUGCCCACAUGUAUUUUUGGAGAAACGUUUUUUAUAUUCGCUAUUAAGUAAUCGCGCGUGAAUAAUACGAUAUGUCCGGUCGACUCGAUCAUUUUUAUCGAUAUCGUGAUUAUGUAUCGAUUGUGGAUCCGUGAAUCGAUCAUCGUAAUCGAGGUGGCGCGAUGAGGCGAGAUAUUAAAAAUGAUAUCGUGGAGUGACUGGUGACACGAAUUAUUUGAUUAAAUAAUUACAUUAGAGCGCGAAUAUAUACAGCGAUUCGAAACUCGUGGUCGAUAGUACGAUGAGAAGAAGAAGAAGAAGAAGAAGAAUAACAUCAAUCCUGAUAGAUUCGAGCGAGGACUAAACCAUUUAUGAUAAUUACAUUUUUUUUUUUCUAAAAAUUCUCUCGAGUCACUUCGCUUGAACGACUUUAUAGAGGAUAGAAACGGAAUUAGACGCACGACUGACUAAUUAUCGUUAUCGACGAGAUAUUUUUGUAAACGAAAUUCGGAAUAUCGACUUAAAGAGAGGGGGAAAAAAAAAAAAAAUUGCCAAUCGACUGCCAAACGCAAUAGAGAGUAUUAUAAAGCGAUAAGGUUUUACUGUUAAUUACGAUUAAACACCCAUACCGGGGGGAAGGGGGUUUGUUUCCUUUUUUCCAAUUAGAAAUUGUUCCAAAUAAGAGAUAAGAUUUCUUAGAUGUAAUAAUUGUACAUAAUUGUAUAUGAGAGAGGGAUAAGCGUAAGUAGACGAGUCGAUAAAGGAAAAGAUCGACCGGACAAGUUGCAGUUUCCAAUUCAUCGAAUUUCUUUGCUAUAAUAUCUAUCGCUGUACAUGCUGUCGCGAACGCUGUAUUAUCAUUGUUAUAAUUAUUGAUGUUUCUCGUGUAAAUGGAUAAUUGUCACACCCGGGUCGUUCGAGUUUCGUUGUAUGGGAAAUGCACGCGUUCUUGUUCUCUUCCUUCUCUGAAAUUUAAAUGAAAUUGCAGAUCAGUUUCUCACUCGGAUUUCCAAAUUAUGGAAAUGUGUAAACGCGUAGGUGGAUAUAUAUAUAUAUAUAUGUAUGUGUGUAUCCACAGCCAAGAAUCAAUAUCCCGUUUAGUUUAUUUAAUUUCGUUCUUCUCUUUCUUCGAAAAAUAAUUUCGUGUCUUUCAGACGAUUAGUGACGCACGUUUUACGAUGUUUUACGUUUUGUCGUGAUUUUUUUUUCUUUUUUUUUUUUUUUUAAUAGAAAAAGUACUUGGAUACUUUUAUUAAAAGUCGAUUACUUUUACAUCGAUCGAUAACGAUAUCGAUGUACGACGAUUAUUUGUUUGCUUUUCAGUGAAAUUUCCCGGAUCGUAUUGAAAGUAAUUUCUUAUAUUUUUAUAAACUAACUUGUUAAGUUUCAUUUUUUCCUUAAUAUAAUAUUUUUCGUCUUCUCUUUUCUAGAGCUUGUUCCAGUUUCACAAAAUUUCACAUCAAUCCAAUACUAUAAUUAUUGCAUUAUACUAAAAAUCAUUAACGCGACUCUAAAAAUAGUUUUAUGCGCAUAAGAAAUCAAUAAUAAAUUAAUGUGAUAACUAAAUAAAUAAUAAAGGGAGAUAAUUUUUGCAAUCUCAUUAAUAUUCAAUUUCCAUGAAAAUGUUCCAUUGAAACUAAAAGUGUAACUAAAAGAUCGACAGUUUUUAAAUUAUUUGUACAUAAAUAAUAAUAAUAACAAUAAUGAAAAUAAUCAUCGAAUUUAUUUAAGAAAUGAUCCUAUAUAUUUUCUAAUCAAAUUAUUAUCGCGAGCGUAACUCCUCGAUUGAAGUGACGUUGUAUUGCUUGUAAAAAAAAAAAAAAAAAAGAAAAAAAAGAA